rnacentral:rRNA from 1 species
GACGAACGCUGGCGGCGCGCCUAACACAUGCAAGUCGAACGGAGCUUAGAGAGCUUGCUUUUUAAGCUUAGUGGCGAACGGGUGAGUAACGCGUGAGUAACCUGCCCUAGAGUGGGGGACAACAGUUGGAAACGACUGCUAAUACCGCAUAAGCCCACGGUACCGCAUGGUACUGAGGGAAAAGGAUUUAUUCGCUUUAGGAUGGACUCGCGUCCAAUUAGCUAGUUGGUGAGGUAACGGCCCACCAAGGCGACGAUUGGUAGCCGGACUGAGAGGUUGAACGGCCACAUUGGGACUGAGACACGGCCCAGACUCCUACGGGAGGCAGCAGUGGGGGAUAUUGCACAAUGGGGGAAACCCUGAUGCAGCGACGCCGCGUGGAGGAAGAAGGUCUUCGGAUUGUAAACUCCUGUUGUUGAGGAGAUAAUGACGGUACUCAACAAGGAAGUGACGGCUAACUACGUG